rnacentral:siRNA from 1 species
GUCAUCUAGGGCCAAGAGUUC